rnacentral:lncRNA from 1 species
AUGUUGCCAUUUUACGGACUAAAACUCAACAAGGCGGUUAAAAAGAAAUAUGCAGGUAUUGUGGAAACAAGCGAAGGGUGUGCUCUAAGAGAUGGAGCACUGUCUUCCUAUUUCCAGUCUAAUGAUCUUCCAUCUCCAGUGUGGUUACCUUUCAUCAGUGUGCUUUCUGAAACUGACUCAGUCUGGCUCACACAUUAAGGACAGUUAUUGUCUCACAUGACUGAAAAAUCCAGAAGUGGGACAGACUUCAGAUCUGUUUGAUACAUUAGUUCAGCAAUUUCAUUGAAGAUCAGGUUUUUUCCUAAAAUAAGGACAACUUUUCCAUAAGUCUCCCACCAUACUUCUCUUUGAUUUUAAUUGGGCCCAUGUGUAUCCUAACUACUAGCAGGGCAAAUGGAAUGAUCACAAUAAACAUGUUCUGAUCGUUUCCAGUGAGGUAGAGUGGAUGUUGGGCAAUUAAAGUGGCCACUGUCCUCAUUCUCUGCCAAGUUUAAGAUGUUAAAUUCCCUAGGAUUGUGUUGUAGAAUCUCUUCCGUUCUCGCAGAAUCCUCUCUCUAACUCGAUCCACUCUCAUAGGCUUAACUACCCUAUGUCUGGUGAUAGUUCCCAAAUCAGUAUAUUCAAUCCAAACCCUUUUAGAAUCUCAUAUAUAUGCAUUCAAUUUCUUGCUAGAAAGCUCAAUUUAGAACUGCUAACAAAAUUCCAAAUUCAAGAUAAUCCAAAUUUGGGCUUUUUGUCUUGACCUAAAAUUCCCAAGUCCUCUAUUCCCAACAUGGCAAGUCCUUUAAACUAAAACCCCAGGCAUCACUUCGAGCCUCU